rnacentral:rRNA from 1 species
GAGUUUGAUCAUGGCUCAGAACGUACGCUGGCGGCACGCCUAACACAUGCAAGUCGAACGAAGUAGCAAUACUUAGUGGCAGACGGGUGAGUAACAUGUAGGUAUCUGCCCUUUGGCCUGGAAUAACACGAGGAAACUUGUGCUAAUACCGGAUAAGUCUUUACGGAGAAAGCUUUAUGCACCAUUGGAUGAGCCUGCACUUGAUUAGUUUGUUGGUGGGGUAAUGGCCUACCAAGACUGUGAUCAAUAGCUGAUUUGAGAGGAUGAUCAGCCACAUUGGGACUGAGACACGGCCCAAACUCCUACGGGAGGCAGCAGUGGGGAAUCUUGCACAAUGGAGGAAACUCUGAUGCAGCGAUGCCGCGUGAGUGAAGAAGGCCCUUGGGUUGUAAAGCUCUUUCGUCGGGGAAGAAAAUGACUGUACCCGAAUAAGAAGGUCCGGCUAACUUCGUGCCAGCAGCCGCGGUAAUACGAAGGGGCCUAGCGUAGUUCGGAAUUACUGGGCUUAAAGAGUUCGUAGGUGGUUGAAAAAGUUGGUGGUGAAAUCCCAGAGCUUAACUCUGGAACUGCCAUCAAAACUUUUCAGCUAGAGUAUGAUAGAGGAAAGCAGAAUUUCUAGUGUAGAGGUGAAAUUCGUAGAUAUUAGAAAGAAUACCAAUUGCGAAGGCAGCUUUCUGGAUCAUUACUGACACUGAGGAACGAAAGCAUGGGUAGCGAAGAGGAUUAGAUACCCUCGUAGUCCAUGCCGUAAACGAUGUGUGUUAGAUGUUGGAAAUUUAUUUUCAGUGUCGCAGCGAAAGCGAUAAACACACCGCCUGGGGAGUACGACCGCAAGGUUAAAACUCAAAUGAAUUGACGGGGACCCGCACAAGUAGUGGAGCAUGUGGUUUAAUUCGAAGAUACGCGCAGAACCUUACCAACACUUGACAUGUUCGUCGCGACUCUAAGAGAUUAGAGUUUUCGGUUCGGCCGGACGAAACACAGGUGCUGCAUGGCUGUCGUCAGCUCGUGUCGUGAGAUGUUGGGUUAAGUCCCGCAACGAGCGCAACCCUCACUUUUAGUUGCCAUCAUUAAGUUGGGCACUCUGAAAGAACUGCCAGUGAUAAGCUGGAGGAAGGUGGGGAUGACGUCAAGUCCUCAUGGCCCUUACGUGUUGGGCUACACACGUGCUACAAUGGUAUCUACAACAGGAAGCAAGACUGCGAAGUUAAGCAAAUCCCUAAAAGAUACCUCAGUUCGGAUUGCACUCUGCAACUCGAGUGCAUGAAGCUGGGAUUACUAGUAAUCGUGGAUCAGCGUGCCACGGUGAAUGCGU